ACCUGGAUGGCUUAGUGGGUUGAGCGUCCGACUUCGGUUCGGGUCACGAUCUCACGGUUCGUGGGUUCAAGCCCCGUGUCGGGCU
rnacentral:tRNA from 1 species